GCCAGGCGUGGUGGCGUGUGCCUGUAGUCCCAGCUACUCGGGAGGCUGAGGCAGAAGAAUGGCUUGAACCCAGGAGGAGGAGGUCGCAGUGAGCCGAGAUCAUGCCACUGCAUUCCAGCCUGGGUGACACAGCUAGACUCUGUCUCAA
ensembl:misc_RNA Metazoa_SRP Metazoan signal recognition particle RNA